rnacentral:SRP_RNA from 1 species
GCCAGGUGCAGUGGUGCGCACCUGUAAUCCCAGCUACUUGGGAGGCUGAGACAGGAGAAUCGCUUGAACCUGGGAGGUGGAGGUUGCAGUGAGCCAAGAUCAUGCCACUGCACUCCAGCCUGGGUGACAGAGUGAGACUCCGUCUCAA